rnacentral:tRNA from 1 species
GCUCAAAUAGUUUAAUAAAAACAUUAGUUUUGUAAACUAAAUUUAUAAAUUAUUUAUUUUGAGUA